rfam:Ruminococcus obeum CAG:39 genomic scaffold, scf49
UUUUAAUACAGAACGCUGCCGAAGACAGUAGGUGCCGAAAGGCAUAAGGAUUAAAACGCCUACCGAGGACUAAGUAUUCUAUUUAAGAUUACAGAGACCUUACUGUCAUGCAGUAAGGCUUUUUUUAUGUUUUG